rnacentral:rRNA from 1 species
CCUACGGGAGGCUGCAGUGAGGAAUAUUGGUCAAUGGACGAGAGUCUGAACCAGCCAAGUAGCGUGAAGGAUGACUGCCCUAUGGGUUGUAAACUUCUUUUAUAUGGGAAUAAAACGUUCCACGUGUGGGAUUUUGUAUGUACCAUAUGAAUAAGGAUCGGCUACUCCGGGCCAGCAGCCGCGGUAAUACGGAGGAUCCGGGCGUUAUCCGGAUUUAUUGGGUUUAAAGGGAGCGUAGGUGGAUUGUUAAGUCAGUUGUGAAAGUUUGCGGCUCAACCGUAAAAUUGCAGUUGAAACUGGCAGUCUUGAGUACAGUAGAGGUGGGCGGAAUUCGUGGUGUAGCGGUGAAAUGCUUAGAUAUCACGAAGAACUCCGAUUGCGAAGGCAGUUCACUGGACUGCAACUGACACUGAGGCUCGAAAGUGUGGGUAUCAAACAGGAUUAGAUACCCUUGUAGUC